AUCUCCACCAGCAGCUGCACUUUCAGGCUGGCUGUCAUUGAGAGAGCUGAGCUGGAGAGACUGGCUGUCACUGAGAGAGCUGGACAGAGCUUGGCUGUCACUGAGAGAGCUGGAGAGGCUGGCUGUCACUGAGAGAGCUGGAGAGGCUGGCUGUCACUGAGAGAGCUGGACAGAGCUUGGCUGUCACUGAGAGAGCUGGAGAGGCUGGCUGUCAGUGAGAGAGCUGGAGAGACUGGCUGUCACUGAGAGAGCUGGACAGAGCUUGGCUGUCACUGAGAGAGCUGGAGAGGCUGGCUGUCACUGAGAGAGCUGGACAGAGCUUGGCUGUCACUGAGAGAGCUGGAGAGGCUGGCUGUCACUGAGAGAGCUGGAGAGGCUGGCUGUCACUGAGAGGGAGGAGGCUGGAGGCUGGCUGUCACUGAGGGAAGCUGGAGGAGGGCUGGCUGUCACUGGGAGGCUGGACAGGCUUGGCUGUGCUGGGAGCUGGAGGCUGUGGCUGUCGGUGGGGAGCUGGGAGACUUGGCUGUCACUUUCGAGAGGCUGGACGGGGCUUGAGAAGCUUGUCACGCUGAGGAGCUGGACAGGCUUGUGCUGGAGAGCUGGAGGCUGACAUCACUGGGAGGCUGGACAGGCUUGGCUGUCACUGAGAGGCUGGAGGCUGGCUGUCAGGUGAGAGCUGGAGAACUGGCUGUCACUGGGGAGGCUGGACAGGCUUGGCUGUCACUGGGGAGGCUGGACAGGCUUGGCUGUCACUGGGGAGGGAGCUGGAGGAUCUGGCUGUCACUGAGGCUGGAGAGACUGGCUGUCACUGAGAGAGCUGGACAGAGCUUGGCUGUCACUGAGAGAGCUGGAGAGGCUGGCUGUCACUGAGAGAGCUGGACAGAGCUUGGCUGUCACCGAGAGAGCUGGAGAGGCUGGCUGUCAGUGAGAGAGCUGGACAGAGCUUGGCUGUCACUGAGAGAACUGGAGAGACUGGCUGUCACUGAGAGAGCUGAACAGAGCUUGGCUGUCACUGAGAGAGCUGGAGAGACUGGCUGUCACUGAGAGAGCUGGACAGAGCUUGGCUUUCACUGAGAGAGCUGGAGAGGCUGGCUGUCAGUGAGAGAGCUGGAGAGACUGGCUUUCACUGAGAGAGCUGGAGAGGCUGGCUCUCAGUGAGAGAGCUGGAGAGGCUGGCUGUCAGUGAGAGAGCUGCAUAGAUCCUGGCUGUCAGUGAGAGAGCUGGAGAGGCUGGCUGUCAGUGAGAGAGCUGCAUAGAUCCUGGCUGUCAGUGAGAGAGCUGGAGAUAAGCUGCCUUCCAGGGCUGAGUUGCAGCAUCCCCCCACCUGGGCACAGCAUGCUACAGUGGCACACAGGGCAGUGGAUAUAAGGACAUAAGGCUUGCAGGACUGCCAGGUAAGAACC
rnacentral:lncRNA from 1 species